AUGAACGUUGGCGGUGUGCCUAAUACAUGCAAGUCGAACGAAGAUGAUAGCAAUAUUGUCUUAGUGGCGAACGGGUGAGUAACACAUCGGAACGUACCCAGUUGUGGGGGAUAGCCCGGCGAAAGCCGGAUUAAUACCGCAUACGACCUGAGGGUGAAAGGGGGGGAUCGCAAGACCUCUCGCAGUUGGAGCGGCCGAUGGCGGAUUAGCUAGUUGGUGGGGUAAAGGCCUACCAAGGCGACGAUCCGUAGCUGGUCUGAGAGGACGACCAGCCACACUGGAACUGAGACACGGUCCAGACUCCUACGGGAGGCAGCAGUGGGGAAUUUUGGACAAUGGGGGCAACCCUGAUCCAGCCAUUCCGCGUGAGUGAAGAAGGCCUUCGGGUUGUAAAGCUCUUUCGGCAGGAACGAAACGGUGGAGGCUAAUACCUUUCAUCAAUGACGGUACCUGAAGAAGAAGCACCGGCUAACUACGU
rnacentral:rRNA from 1 species